UUGAAAGGGAAACGAUUGAAGUCAGUCGUACGGACGAGAAAUCAACCUCUCGAGGGUGGGUUCGUUUUGCGUAUCCGCAUUCUUGGGGUGUAUUUUCUCGUAUCGUAGGUUAGCGUCGGUUUCGGACAUUACAAAAUGAUUGGAGGAAUGUAGCUUCGGCCUCGGUUGAAGUGUUAUAGCCUCUGGUAGAUGUAACGACCGGGACCGAGGAUUGCAACGGAUACCCUCACGGGCUAUCCGCCUGACCUCUGAUGCGACACCCCGGUGUUGAAAGCUUGCUUAUGAUAUCGGAGCGAUCGUUCAAAAGGUUAGAGCGGAUUAAAUUCGUUAAGGACGCUGACGUAAUGGCUUUAAACGACCCGUCUUGAAACACGGACCA
rnacentral:rRNA from 1 species